rnacentral:rRNA from 1 species
GACGAACGCUGGCGGCGUGCUUAACACAUGCAAGUCGAACGGAAAGGCCCUGCUUUUGUGGGGUGCUCGAGUGGCGAACGGGUGAGUAACACGUGAGUAACCUGCCCUUGACUUUGGGAUAACUUCAGGAAACUGGGUCUAAUACCGGAUAGGAGCUCCUGCUGCAUGGUGGGGGUUGGAAAGUUUCGGGGGUUGGGGAUGGACUCGCGGGUUAUCAGCUUGUUGGUGGGGUAGUGGCUUACCAAGGAUUUGACGGGUAGGCGGCCGGAGGGGGUGACCGGCGAAAGGGGGGAUGAGAUACGGCCCAGAGGGGGACGGGGGGGCGGAGGGGGGAAGAUGGGAAAAGGGGGGGAAGCGUGAGGCAGCAACGCCGGGGGCGGGGUGGCGGGCGUGGGGGGGGAAAACGCAGGCGCGCAGGACGAAGCGGGGUGUGACGGUAGGGGGUAAAGAAGCACCGGCUAACUACGUG